rnacentral:rRNA from 1 species
GAUGAACGCUGGUGGCGUGCCUAACACAUGCAAGUCGAGCGAUUCUCUUCGGAGCAGAGCGGCGGACGGGUGAGUAACGCGGGGGUAACCUGCCCUGUACACCCUGAUAACAUACCGAAGGGUAUGCUAAUACGAGAUAACUUGCUUUUAUCGCAUUGUAGAAGUAUAAAAGCUUUUGCGGUACAGGAUGGACCCUCGUCUGAUUAGCUAGUUGGUGAGGUAACGGCUCACCAAGGCGACGAACAGUAGCCGACCUGAGAGGGAGAUCGGCCACAUUGGAACUGAGACACGGUCCAAACUCCUACGAGAGGCAGCAGUGGGGAAUAUUGCAAAAUGGGCGAAAGCCAGAUGCAGCAACGACGCGUGAGCGAUGAAGGCCGUCGAGUAGUAAAGCGCUGUCCUCAAGGAAGAUAAUGACGGUACUUGAGGAGGAAGCCCCGGCUAACUACGUG